rnacentral:precursor_RNA from 8 species
GGGUGUAUUAGCCCACUAAUGACUGCAAUAAACAUUCAUUGCUGUCGGUGGGUUUCUAAUAGACACAACUCACUGAUCAAUGAAUGCAAACUGCGGUGCAAGAACCUCAGUCUACAGAUU